UUAUUGUUUAGUCGCUACUCGCUAUCGCAGGAGUCUAUACAUACUCUCAUCUACUGUACAGACAUUGUUCAAUAGCCCAGGCUUGUCUGAACAUUUUGUAGUUGUAGGCACAGAGGUGAGUCAGGAAGAGGAAGAAAGAGAGAGCCUAAGAGCAGUGGGAGUGGGAACAUGAUGGAAAACCCAACAUGUCUAUUUCCUCUGACCAUGGGGGAGAAAACAUUGGUGCUUUCCGAUGCCUCCCAUUCCUAUUGUUCUUAGGAGCUCCUUCCUCUUCCUUUUGGCUCACAUAGUUAUUUGAGGGAAAGCUAGAGAUUUCAAUAAACACAUUUGGAUGAUGCGAGCACAAAGGUGAGAUAGGAAAAGGAAGAAAUGAGGGCCUAAGAACAGUGGGCAUGGGAACAUGGAGGAAAGCUCAACCAAUGGUUAUCCCUUGGAGUCAAAGCAGGGGGAGGUCAUGCCCCAUCCAUGGAGGAAUUCUUAGGAAUUCAAAUCCAAAAGGUGACUCCAAUAUCGUGCAUAUAUAAACAGUCCUACCUGCAGGGCCCUGGCAACAUCUGCAGCUGCACCGCCAUCUACUACUCAUCCAACAAGGCCAAGCAACUGACUGUUUUGCUGAAUCAAGCCAGCUUGUGAGGUUGGUUUCUCUGAUGUUAUUCCGAUGGACACAUCCUUGUGGCCAGUGGUUUCUCCGCCCAUGUGGUCCACGCUGCUACUGCGAUACUUGUUUGGUUCCAACAUGAUUUUAUAGUUGGGCGCCGGCAGCUUCAGUUCUUUCUUUGGGUCAUGCUCAGUUCCUUGUUUAUUCCAUCACGAAUCUUGUAGUUCAACAAAUUGAUAUUCCAAAAGUGAUGAUUUCUCUCCACAUAUUGCUUGCUACUAUUGCACAUAUUUGUCACUCAUCGAUUUGUAUUUGACCUACUGGAUCUUUCUGCUAUUACCAUGUUGUUGAAA